GACGAACGCUGGCGGCGUGCCUAAUACAUGCAAGUCGUACGCACUGGCCCAACUGAUUGAUGGUGCUUGCACCUGAUUGACGAUGGAUCACCAGUGAGUGGCGGACGGGUGAGUAACACGUAGGUAACUUGCCCCGGAGCGGGGGAUAACAUUUGGAAACAGAUGCUAAUACCGCAUAACAACAAAAGCCACAUGGCUUUUGUUUGAAAGAUGGCUUUGGCUAUCACUCUGGGAUGGACCUGCGGUGCAUUAGCUAGUUGGUAAGGUAAUGGCUUACCAAGGCGAUGAUGCAUAGCCGAGUUGAGAGACUGAUCGGCCACAAUGGAACUGAGACACGGUCCAU
rnacentral:rRNA from 1 species